rnacentral:rRNA from 1 species
UACGUAGGGUGCAAGCGUUGUCCGGAAUUAUUGGGCGUAAAGAGCUCGUAGGCGGUUUGUCGCGUCUGCUGUGAAAACCCGAGGCUCAACCUCGGGCCUGCAGUGGGUACGGGCAGACUAGAGUGUGGUAGGGGAGACUGGAAUUCCUGGUGUAGCGGUGGAAUGCGCAGAUAUCAGGAGGAACACCGAUGGCGAAGGCAGGUCUCUGGGCCAUUACUGACGCUGAGGAGCGAAAGCAUGGGGAGCGAACAGG